AGCAGCCGCCGCGGUAAUACGUAGGGUGCGAGCGUUAAUCGGAAUUACUGGGCGUAAAGCGUGCGCAGGCGGUUUUGUAAGACAGAGGUGAAAUCCCCGGGCUCAACCUGGGAACUGCCUUUGUGACUGCAAGGCUAGAGUACGGCAGAGGGGGAUGGAAUUCCGCGUGUAGCAGUGAAAUGCGUAGAUAUGCGGAGGAACACCGAUGGCGAAGGCAAUCCCCUGGGCCUGUACUGACGCUCAUGCACGAAAGCGUGGGGAGCAAACAGGAUUAGAUACCCCCGUAGUCCCUGUCUCUUAUAC
rnacentral:rRNA from 1 species